UACGUAGGGUGCGAGCGUUAAUCGGAAUUACUGGGCGUAAAGCGUGCGCAGGCGGUUUUGUAAGCCAGAUGUGAAAGCCCCGGGCUUAACCCUGGGAAUGGCAUUUGGGGACUGCAAGGCUUGAGUGCGGCAGAGGAGACUGGAAUUCCUGGUGUAGCAGUGAAAUGCGUAGAUAUCAGGAGGAAUACCGAUGGCGAAGGCAGGUCUCUGGGCUGACACUGACGCUCAUGCACGAAAGCGUGGGGAGCGAACAAGGAUUG
rnacentral:rRNA from 1 species